GCCAGCAGCCAUAUCACCCUGUAACUCACAACUGGCAACCCACUGAAGCUAAGCAGGUGUGAGCCUGGUCAGUACCUGGAUGGGAGACCUCCUGGGAAAAACUAAGGUUGCUGCUGGAA
ensembl:rRNA 5S_rRNA 5S ribosomal RNA